rnacentral:rRNA from 1 species
GAGAGUUUGAUCCUGGCUCAGGAUGAACGCUGGCGGCGUGCUUAACACAUGCAAGUCGAACGAAGCAUUUGGACGGAACUUUUCGGAGGGAAGAUUAAAUGACUUAGUGGCGGACGGGUGAGUAACACGUGGGUAACCUGCCUCGCACAGGGGGAUAACAGUGGGAAACUGCUGCUAAUACCGCAUAAGACCACAUCAGCGCAUGCUGAAGUGGUAAAAGAUUUAUCGGUGCGAGAUGGACCUGCGUCUGAUUAGAUAGUUGGUGAGGUAGAGGCUCACCAAGUCGACGAUCGGUAGCCGACCUGAGAGGGUGAUCGGCCACAUUGGGACUGAGACACGGCCCAAACUCCUACGGGAGGCAGCAGUGGGGAAUAUUGGACAAUGGGGGAAACCCUGAUCCAGCGACGCCGCGUGAGUGAAGAAGUAUUUCGGUAUGUAAAGCUCUAUCAGCAGGGAAGAAAAUGACGGUACCUGACUAAGAAGCCCCGGCUAACUACGUGCCAGCAGCCGCGGUAAUACGUAGGGGGCAAGCGUUAUCCGGAUUUACUGGGUGUAAAGGGAGCGUAGACGGUUUGGCAAGUCUGAAGUGAAAGCCCGGGGCUCAACCCCGGAAUUGCUUUGGAAACUGUUAGACUGGAGUGUCGGAGAGGUAAGUGGAAUUCCCAGUGUAGCGGUGAAAUGCGUAGAUAUUGGGAGGAACACCGGUGGCGAAGGCGGCUUACUGGACGAUAACUGACGUUGAGGCUCGAAGGCGUGGGGAGCAAACAGGAUUAGAUACCCUGGUAGUCCACGCGGUAAACGAUGAAUACUAGGUGUCGGGGAGAUUAACUCUUCGGUGCCGUCGCAAACGCAGUAAGUAUUCCACCUGGGGAGUACGUUCGCAAGAAUGAAACUCAAAGGAAUUGACGGGGACCCGCACAAGCAGUGGAGCAUGUGGUUUAAUUCGAAGCAACGCGAAGAACCUUACCAAGUCUUGACAUACCGAUGACGUCUCUUUAACAGGAGAGUUCCUUCGGGACAUCGGAUACAGGUGGUGCAUGGUUGUCGUCAGCUCGUGUCGUGAGAUGUUGGGUUAAGUCCCGCAACGAGCGCAACCCUUGUCCUUAGUAGCCAGCAGUAAGAUGGGCACUCUAGGGAGACUGCCGGGGAUAACCCGGAGGAAGGUGGGGAUGACGUCAAAUCAUCAUGCCCCUUAUGAUUUGGGCUACACACGUGCUACAAUGGCGUAAACAAAGAGAAGCGAACCUGCGAGGGGGAGCAAAUCUCAGAAAUAACGUCUCAGUUCGGAUUGUAGGCUGCAACUCGCCUACAUGAAGUCGGAAUCGCUAGUAAUCGCGAAUCAGAAUGUCGCGGUGAAUACGUUCCCGGGUCUUGUACACACCGCCCGUCACACCAUGGGAGUCAGCAAUGCCCGAAGUCAGUGACCUAACCGUAAGGAAGGAGCUGCCGAAGGCAGGGCAGGUAACUGGGGUGAAG